rnacentral:rRNA from 1 species
UACGGGGGGGGCAAGCGUUGUUCGGAAUUACUGGGCGUAAAGGGCUCGUAGGCGGCCAACUAAGUCGGAUGUGAAAUCCCUAGGCUUAACCUGGGAACUGCAUCCGAUACUGGAUGGCUUGAAUCCGGGAGAGGGAUGCAGAAUUCCAGGUGUAGCGGUGAAAUGCGUAGAUAUCUGGAGGAACACCGGUGGCGAAGGCGGCAUCCUGGACCAACACUGACGCUGAGUGAGCGAAAGCCAGGGGAGCAAACGGG